rnacentral:tRNA from 3 species
AGGGUUAUAGUUAAUUAUAACAUUUGGGUUGCAUUCAAAAAGUAUUGAUAUCUAUCAAUUAACCUUG